AUUCCGUGAUGAGGGAAUUUCUAUAAUAAUUCUUUGAAUCUCUCUCAUGCUUCAUACAAAGAUUCAUCAUCCAAUUGUUGGAAAGUAGUGAUCUCUUUUCGCAACU
rnacentral:snoRNA from 1 species